ensembl:lncRNA
CAUCAAAGUACCAUGAGAGCGAUUCAAAAGCACAAGAAGCCGUUUGUUCCUUGAAAUCCUGGCCAGGACAUGUCCUGGGAAAAUUUCACAUUUGGUCACCCUAACAUUUAUAGUUAUGUGCUGCAUUUCGCAAAAGCAAUGUAAGUCCAAGGCAAGGCAGUCCAAACCUGUUCCUAGAGGGCCACUCUCCUGCAGUGUUUAGCUCCAACCUUAAUUAAACACACCUGAGCAAGCUAAUCAAGCUCUUUAGACCCACUGGAAACUUCCAGGCAAGUGUGUUGGAGCUGUUUGGAGUGAAACUCUGCAGGACGUUGGUCCUCCAGAACGAGGAUUGGACACCCCUGGCUUAAGUAGAUUGUAGAAACCAUUAGCACCAAUGAUCUCUAAAUUUUGAGGAAUGCAGCCAUGUUUAGUACGUUGAGUUUGUAGCCUGUUGUUUAGCACAUGAACUUUGACAUGUUGAACUGUUAUAGAGGAUCCAUUCCUACCCAUGUCAUUUUUAUUGUCUUAAGAUACCUAGCAACAACAGAGGACUCACUCUUCGAUUUUAUUGCAGAAUUAUGUUGAGUCUAAGACCUUUUCCUAACUUGCAAAGGCUACUAAAAAUUAGGGGUGGGGGAAAAAAUUGAAACAGCAUAGUAUCGCGAUAUUUUCCACAGCAAAACCCUAUCGAUACAGGGAUGCCAAGUAUCAAUCUUUUAUUAUACUAUUUGGUAGAAUAAUAAAAUCCAUUUCUUUACAGCCCACUAGAUGGUGAUGUUGAGUUUUUUCUGGUGAGGUCAGCUGGGUCACCUUUUGCAUGCUGUAAGUUAGUAAAAUAAAGAUGGCGGCAUCAUGGAAAGUUAUCAGGAAAGCCUCAUCCACAUUUAAAUCGGAUGAUGCCUACCUAAAAUCAGGGGACCAUUCUUCCAAUCUAUCACAAUUGCGUCGGGGUCCACCAACCCCCAAGUAAGCCACCCAUCUCCAUCUCUGUCAUCACCCAUCCCCCCCACUCAGCUGUUACUUUUCCAGAGGUGUCUAUACCAGACUUGUCCUUGAAUGGCUGAGAGAACCACUGUCCUCCCCCCUCUCCGGUCUCCCUAGAUUGAACAGUGAAUGAGGAUAAG